UGGGGAAUUUUGGACAAUGGGCGCAAGCCUGAUCCAGCAAUGCCGCGUGCAGGAUGAAGGCCUUCGGGUUGUAAACUGCUUUUGUACGGAGCGAAAAGGUCUGCCCUAAUACGGUGGGCUCAUGACGGUACCGUAAGAAUAAGCACCGGCUAACUACGUGCCAGCAGCCGCGGUAAUACGUAGGGUGCGAGCGUUUAUCGGAAUUACUGGGCGUAAAGCGUGCGCAGGCGGUUAUGCAAGACAGAGGUGAAAUCCCCGGGCUCAACCUGGGAACUGCCUUUGUGACUGCAUAGCUGGAGUGCGGCAGAGGGGGAUGGAAUUCCGCGUGUAGCAGUGAAAUGCGUAGAUAUGCGGAGGAACACCGAUGGCGAAGGCAAUCCCCUGGGCCUGCACUGACGCUCAUGCACGAAAGCGUGGGGAGCAAACA
rnacentral:rRNA from 1 species